rnacentral:rRNA from 1 species
AACCGCAUAGAAGUAAAGAGAUAGAUCUGAAAUGUCGCUCCCAAGAUUCAGCUUGGCAGGCGUUUCGUUCUGCUAGUCUGAUCAUUUGACAGAUUAGUAGGCCUGCUUGUGUCUGCUGAGUGCACUUCUUGGGAGUGAGCACUGCGACCGGUAUCUGUGCCAGUAGAAGCUUGAAGUAUCGAGGGCAGACCAAUUCGGUCUCUGUUUCCCAUUCUUCAAUGCCUAUCUGGUUGCGGGAACCGUGUAACUUUGUGUCGGCUUGUCUCAGAGGGUGUGGUAAGGCGCUAUCCGAAUAUCCAUAGUCUGCACGCAGGCUAUGGUAACCCUUGGCGUCUGUACCGUGCUUUUCUGACUCGGCGUGAAGUGUCUGCAGUGUAUGUGUCGGUCACCUAUCUCACCCGUCUUGAAACACGGACCAAGGAGUCUAACAUGUGCGCAAGUCAUUGGGUUCAAAACCUAGAGGCGCAAUGAAAGUAAGCUUCACUUGUGAAGUUAAGCAGGAUCCUCGAUUUAUCGGGGCGCACUGCUGUCCUGCCUUGUAUGCAUUGUCAUUGAGGCAGAGAAAGAGCGUACAUGUUAGGACCCGAAAGAUGGUGAACUAUGCCUGAGCAGGACGAAGCCAGAUGAAAAUCUGGUGGAAGUCCGUAGCGAUUCUGACGUGCAAAUCGAUCGUCGGACUUGGGUAUAGGGGCGAAAGACUAAUCGAACCAUC